rnacentral:rRNA from 1 species
GAUGAACGCUAGCUACAGGCUUAACACAUGCAAGUCGAGGGGCAGCGCAGUGUAGCAAUACAUGGGCGGCGACCGGCGCACGGGUGCGUAACGCGUAUCCAACCUUCCCGAUACUCAGGGAUAGCCUUCCGAAAGGGAGAUUAAUACCUGAUGGUGUUUCAAUUCCGCAUGUUAAUGAAACUAAAGAUUUAUCGGUAUCGGAUGGGGAUGCGUGACAUUAGAUAGUAGGCGGGGUAACGGCCCACCUAGUCUACGAUGUCUAGGGGUUCUGAGAGGAAGGUCCCCCACACUGGAACUGAGACACGGUCCAGACUCCUACGGGAGGCAGCAGUGAGGAAUAUUGGUCAAUGGUCGGAAGACUGAACCAGCCAAGUAGCGUGAAGGAUGAAGGUUCUAUGGAUUGUAAACUUCUUUUAUACGGGAAUAAAACCUCCCACGUGUGGGAGCUUGUAUGUACCGUAUGAAUAAGCAUCGGCUAACUCCGUG